UACGUAGGGUGCGAGCGUUGUCCGGAAUUAUUGGGCGUAAAGGGCUCGUAGGCGGUUUGUCACGUCGGGAGUGAAAACUCGGGGCUUAACCCCGAGCCUGCUUCCGAUACGGGCUGACUAGAGGUAUGCAGGGGAGAACGGAAUUCCUGGUGUAGCGGUGAAAUGCGCAGAUAUCAGGAGGAACACCGGUGGCGAAGGCGGUUCUCUGGGCAUUACCUGACGCUGAGAAGCGAAAGCAUGGGGAGCGAACAGG
rnacentral:rRNA from 1 species